rnacentral:rRNA from 1 species
CCUACGGGAGGCAGCAGUGAGGAAUAUUGGUCAAUGGACGAGAGUCUGAACCAGCCAAGUAGCGUGAAGGAUGACUGCCCUAUGGGUUGUAAACUUCUUUUAUAAAGGAAUAAAACGAGGCACGUGUGCCUUUUUGCAUGUACUUUAUGAAUAAGGAUCGGCUAACCCCGUGCCAGCAGCCGCGGUAAUACGGAGGAUCCGAGCGUUAUCCGGAUUUAUUGGGUUUAAAGGGAGCGUAGAUGGGUUGUUAAGUCAGUUGUGAAAGUUUGCGGCUCAACCGUAAAAUUGCAAUUGAUACUGGCAGUCUUGAGUACAGUUGAGGUAGGCGGAAUUCGUGGUGUAGCGGUGGAAUGCUUAGAUAUCACGAAGAACCCCGAUUGCGAAGGCAGCUUACUAAACUGUGACUGACAUUGAUGCUCGAAAGUGUGGGUAUCAAACAGGAUUAGAUACCCCGGUAGUC